GAUGAAGAGCGCAGCGAAAUGCGAUACUUGGUGUGAAUUGCAGAAUCCCGUGAACCAUCGAGUCUUUGAACGCAAGUUGCGCCCGAAGCCAUUAGGCCGAGGGCACGCCUGCCUGGGCGUCACACGUCGUUGCCCCCCCAUCUACUCCUUCGGGAUUGCGGGGGGCGGAUGAUGGCCUCCCGUGCGCCUCGCCGCGCGGUUGGCAUAAAUGCCAAGUCCUCGGCGACGCACGCCACGACAAUCGGUGGUUGCGAAACCUCGGUUGCCCGUCGUGUGCGGUCGUCGCGCAUCGAGGGCUCGAAAAAAUUGCCGGGUUCCGGCUCGGCUUUCAACGCGACCCCAGGUCAGGCGGGGUUACCCGCUGAAUUUAAGCAUAUCAAUAAGCGGAGGA
rnacentral:misc_RNA from 1 species